rnacentral:lncRNA from 1 species
CCUAUAUACAAAUAUUACACUUAAAUGGUCAGAAAAGCUUUAGUGUAGCUAUACAAUCUCUGUAAUGUUCAACUCAGAUUGUUCAAGGAUGGUUUCGUAUGACACUUUGACUACUAUGAGGGUUUUGUUCUGUCCAAAGUAACACACAAAGAAUUAAACAUUUUAUUGAAAACAAUGUAUGUGUACCAUAGAAGAACAAGAAAUAAACCUGGAAGUAUGAUAAAUUUUACCGUCCACCUCAGCUACAAUCAAUAACCUACAAAAGCCAAAACGGAAACAGACCAUUAGGGAAUAAUAAAUCUUUUCAGUAUUUCCAGUACCAUCGAAAACACGAGCAGGGGAAAAAUGAUUAUCUGGUUCAAUUAGUUAGUAAAUAGUAGAGCUACCUCUAGUUGCUCAUAAAGACUCCUUUUGAACGUCUAGUUGCAGUUGUAGUGCCUCCUUAAGUUGCGUAUCGCCGCAAAUGGUUUUCAAAUCUUUCUAAGAAACAUGAAAUUAACUGCGAUGGAAGAAAGUUUGUAUCUUUGCAACUGUUUAGGCUCAACACGUGGAAAAUAAAAGGCUAGUUUUGAGCUUAACACAAUCUCUAAUAUGCAUUCUACUAAAAUAUAGGUAGCGCAUUCUACUAAAAUAUAGGUAGCAUGAAGUAGCAAUUUUACAUUUCGAUGCCAAUCCAUGCUGCAUUAUUUAACUAAUCUUCUUCACAGAUCUUUUAGUUGCAUCAUCUAUGUGAAAAUAACAGUAAAAAAAAGAGCAAGUUAGCAACAAUAUGAGAAGGCAAGACAUGGGUUUGGCAAAUGUCAAAGGAACAAUUGUAGCAGAUAUCUCGCAUUACGAGUCAUGUCUUAUUCAGGGAAUAAAUAAAGGAUGACCCUGCAAUUAGACCACCCAAAAUACUCCAUGAAAAGGAUACCACAUACCUUCUUAAAUGCAGACUGACAAAGUGGCACUGAUAAGAAGUAUUAGAACUUUACUAGCAUCAUCGACCUUACCUUCAAAUUUCAACGAUAAAAUAAGUAACCAAGAAAUAAGCAGUUUAACUUAGGCUCUAAUAAAUAAAAUAUGGGCAUUGACAAUAAAUUGAAAAGACAUUGUACGUGUGUGGCCAAUUCUCUAUUGGCUAAAGCAAGAGAAUACUAGGUAACCUUCCAUAUCCAGCCCUCCGCCAUGCUUUUGCAGGGACAUUAGUCAAUGAGAGAUAUAUAAAAGGCAGAGCUAGGGAACUAACUCAAACACUUUGCACAAACACAAAAAAGAGAAGAAAAUGAUGCAAUAUAACCAAAGUAUACCCGAGAGGAUCCAGUUUUCAAUACUCUAAGUUGUUGUCAAUAACCAGAAAAGCACGAGCCAGAUGAAAUCUCCCAACCGAGGCAUUUUAAGAAGAAAAAAAAAUCUCCAUUAAAAUCAGAAUAGAAUAAAGAUAACUGAAAAGUAUACAUUAUCACCAAUUCCCCAAAAGCUGUUUAAGAAAUUAAAUUUUACAAUAAGGAUAACAAACAAAAAAGACCAGAAAAGAGAGGCUAAAACUAAGUCAUUCAGUUCCAGCUAUCACAUUUUCAAUUACCCAAGUAUUAAAAGAAUACUUCAUACAUUCAUACAUUACACAAGCAGCAUACUAAUUGAAUUUGCAAGGGUUAAGUUGCGAAGAGCCGAAAAGUUCAGUGAAACGUGACCUAAUUGAAGUUUACUUCAAACUCAUUAGUCACAAAACUAGGAUUACUGAAAAUUAACCAAAACAUAAAAUUGAAGAUGGAAGGAGAAAAGUGUUCACCUAGAAUCGGAUAUCAAAUCGCGAUUGAGAAAAUUGCGAAGUCGGAUGAAGUCGGAUGGAUACAAAUUUGACAAUCAAAUCGCGAUUAAACUCGAAUUUGAAAAGAAAUUAAGACGAUAAACUUAAAGCCUAAUUAGCAAUGUAAGCAUCAAUCUGAUGGCGGAGGCGGUCCGGUGGUGGUAACGAUGGCAGUGGCGUUGAUGGUGAUGGCGAUGGAGCCGGUGGCGGUGGCGGUGGCGUAGCAGGAUCGAAGAAAAGCCCUAGCAUUUCUAAACGACGGGAGAGAGAAACGUAUUAAGAAAAAAAAUGAGAGAGGCUUUUUU